rnacentral:rRNA from 1 species
ACGCUCGACACCUACGGGAGGCAGCAGUGAGGAAUAUUGGUCAAUGGGCGCUAGCCUGAACCAGCCAAGUAGCGUGAAGGAUGAAGGCUCUAUGGGUCGUAAACUUCUUUUAUAUAAGAAUAAAGUGCAGUAUGUAUACUGUUUUGUAUGUAUUANAUGAAUAAGGAUCGGCUAACUCCGUGCCACAGCCGCGGUAAUCUGAGCGGGCUGGCAAGGC